rnacentral:lncRNA from 1 species
CUGGAACUUUGCCUACGGUUGGGAUUUUCAUACCAUAGAAACUGGCAGAUACUAAUUUUUUUCUAAAGAUCUGUAGUUAAAAAUUUGCCUGAUUUAAAGGUUGUGAGAAGGGGACGACCCAGGAUGAGAUGGCUGGAUGGCAUCAUGGACUCGAUGGAUGGGAUCUUCCCGACCCAGGGAUGGAACCCCAGCCUCCAGGAAACGUCACAGCUGUCCGGUGACUCCUGCUCAGCAUCACUCUUGCAGUGA